GACGAACGCUGGCGGCGUGCCUAAUACAUGCAAGUAGAACGCACAGUUUAUACCUUAGCUUGCUACACCAUAGACUGUGAGUUGCGAACGGGUGAGUAACGCGUAGGUAACCUGCCUGGUAGCGGGGGAUAACUAUUGGAAACGAUAGCUAAUACCGCAUAAUAUUAAUUAUUGCAUGAUAAUUGAUUGAAAGAUGCAACUGCAUCACUACCAGAUGGACCUGCGUUGUAUUAGCUAGUAGGUGAGGUAACGGCUCACCUAGGCGACGAUACAUAGCCGACCUGAGAGGGUGAUCGGCCACACUGGGAAUGAGACACGGCCCAGACUCCUUCGGGAGGCAGCAGUAGGGAAUCUUCGGCAAUGGACGAAAGUCUGACCGAGCAACGCCGCGUGAGUGAAGAAGGUUUUCGGAUCGUAAAGCUCUGUUGUAAGGGAAGAACGGGUGUGAGAGUGGAAAGUUCACACUGUGACGGUAUCUUACCAGAAAGGGACGGCUAACUACGUG
rnacentral:rRNA from 1 species